AUGUCGGCUGUGAGGACCAGCUCUUCCCCUCUGGUUGUAUCAGAUAGGAGUCCUGCUCCUCCUGGUAUCCUCCUGGUCUCCUCCUGGUCUCCUCCUGGUCCCCUCCUGGUCUCCUCCUGGUCUCCUCCUGGUCUCCUCCUGGUCCCCUCCUGGUCCUCCUGGUCUCCUCCUGGUCUCCUGGUCUCCUCCUGGUCUCCUCCUGCUCUCCUCCUGGUCUCCUCCUGGUCUCCUCCUGGUCUCCUCCUGGUCCCCUCCUGGUCUCCUCCUGGUCUCCUGGUCUCCUCCUGGUCCCCUCCUGGUCUCCUCCUGGUCUCCUCCUGGUCUCCUGCUCCUCCUGGUCUCCUCCUGGUCUCCUCCUGGUCACCUCCCUGGUCCUCCUGGUCCUCCUGGUCCCCUCCUGGUCCCCUCCUGGUCCCCUCCUGGUCCCCUCCUGGUCUCCUCCUGGUCUCCUCCUGGUCCCCUCCUGGUCUCCUCCUGGUCUCCUCCUGGUCUCCUCCUGGUCCCCUCCUGGUCUCCUCCUGGUCUCCUCCUGGUCUCCUCCUGGUCCCCUCCUGGUCUCCUCCUGGUCUCCUCCUGGUCUCCUCCUGGUCCCCUCCCUGCUCCUCCCCUCCCUGCUGCUCCAGAUCAGUUCUGGCUGCCGGUGGAACUGAAGGAGACCAUUACCCAGCAGGACCUGCGCUGGAUUGCGUCCACGCUGUGGAGGAACCAGCGGCUGCGCCCGGACGUCCAGCUCUGGUAUGAGCCACCGGUUCCUGCCCUCCUCUACAGCCAGGUCCCGUCACCAGAUCGCUUCUGUAUGCACCGGCUCCUGGUGUGGACGGCCUACCGCCGGUGGAAGGUGAGGCUGUCCUGCCCCCAGUGCAAGGGGCAGCUCACCGGGGCCGGCGUCCACAGGAGGGCACGGGAGUUCCUGGACGUGGACAGGUACUACCCAAUGGGGCCGGAGACCCUCAGGUGCAUCUCCCCCGGUUGUGUUACUACCUGUCCACGAGCCAGAGCGUCCUGGACCAGCUGGGCCCAGAGCGUCCUGGACCAGCUGGGCCCAGAGCGUCCUGGACCAGCAGGGCCCAGAGCGUCCUGGACCAGCUGGGCCCAGAGCGUCCUGGACCAGCUGGGCCCAGAGCGUCCUGGACCAGCAGGGCCCAGAGCGUCCUGGACCAGCAGGGCCAGAGCGUCCUGGACCAGCUGGACCCAGAGCGUCCUGGACCAGCAGGGCCUGGCUCUCCCACGCCUGGCCAACCAGCUGCUGGAGACCCCCAGCGAGGAGGGGCUGCAGCGUUCGGCCGCUACAUGGAGCUGUGCAGUGACUUUACCCAGCAGGCCCGGUCUCUCCCCGGUGGUCUGACAGAGCCCCCCGAGCCUGGGGCUGUCCCCACCAACAGGUGGCUCCUGACGGUGUACGGGAAGCACUUGAUGAGCCGUGUGGGCCAUCAAGGCCUCACCUCCACCUUUGGCUCCAUUUUAAACAUGGAUUCCACAAAGAAGGUCUAAAGGACAUCAACAACAAUGCAUGAAAUAUCCCAGCUUGUGAAGGUUAUAGUCACAAAUGUGUCAAUGUUUAUUUGAUGUGCCUUUUUGCGUGUGUAAAUCCCUAUUUUAUGUGUUUAUUCCUAGAUGUACUUUUGUGUAUAUAUUUAGCUUCUGUUUUGUUCUUAUUCUAAGUUCUAUUAUUGUUUUGAAAGCACUCUGAAUUAG
ensembl:lncRNA